AUAAUAAAAAUACACUUUCAAAGUGAUAAAAAUAAUUUCUUUAUAUCUAAACUUUUUCUUAGAUAAAAAAGAAUAUAUUUUAUAUAAUGUGACCUUAUGAAAAAAAAGUUCACGAAAAUAAUCAUGAUAUUACAAAAAUAAAUAUAUUUUCAAAGUAAUAGAAAAAUAUUCUUUAUAUCUAUCUAGUUUCUUAGAUUAUUACAUAAAAUAAUUAAAGAACAUAAACCGAUAUAUGUUUAAUUGACUAAAAAUAGUUUAUAAUUAUUAUUAUUUAAAUAUUUUUUCAUAAUCUUUAGUUGACGGUUAUAUCUUACAAUUACAGUAAGAACACAUAUAAAUAAUCUGAUUUCACAAAAACAAUCACAAUUUUAGUGCUGAUUAUUAAGAGAUAUUAAAAAAGGAACCUAAAAAUAAUUUUUAAUUACAAGAAUAUUUUGAUCAAAUAAUUACACAAUCUUUUUAAAUUGCAUAUAUUACUAAUGAGGGUAUAUAUAUAUAUAUAUAUAUAUUCCAUUUUAUCAUUAUUGAAAAAAUAUAUUUUUCUUAAUAUUUACUUUCUUUUAAUUUUAUGUUUUUUUAUGUUUGUGAAACUUAAUAUACACAUAAUCAAAAUACCCAAACAAAUCUGAAUUCUUAUUUUAAGAUUAUUUCAAAUAAUUUUCAGUUGACAAAAAAAAAAAUUCAGUUUAACUUUCAAUAAAUCUAAGGCAUACAAUUAUUUAGAAUUUAUAAAAUAUAUAAUUGUAAAUAUUGAUAUUCGUUUAUGAUCUUACAAAACAUUAUCAGUUAUACUUAUGUAUGUAAUUUCCUAAUGAUCAUCUCUUUAUUUCCUAAUAAUUUUUAAAAAAAUCAAUAGAUAAUUUUGAUAAAUAUUAUGAAAAUACAUGCACAUUUAACCGAGAAAUAAAACUAAUUUGAUUUGACUAAAUUAGAAUAAAAAAUAAUUAUACUUGAGUUUGAAUUUGAAAGAAUAUUUGUAACUCAAUAUAUAAAAUUAUACGUGAGUACAACAUGAGUGACUCGACUAAUCCAACUUAUAUCCAAAAUCAAAGAUCUAACUACAGUAAAUCUAUUUAUUUUUAUACAUAUAAAUUAUAGGAUGACUCAAAACCUAUUAAUAAAUAAAAAUAAAAUAUUAAAUAAUUGUUACAAUAUGAUUUUAUAUGUGCAUGAGACUUCAGAAUAUUAUCAUUAUAUUCAUUUAUAUAAUUUUGAAUCAAACAUUGUAGUUUAUUUUUAUUUAAAUCUAAACACAAUAUAUAUGAUGUAAUACAUAAUCUUACUAAAAUAUAUUUACAUAUCAAAGAAAAUAACCAAUCUAAAUGCAAAUAAGAAUUUAAUCAAAAUUAACUAUAUUCAGAAUAAAAUAUUAUAGUUGAAUUCGGAGAAAUAAAUGAAAUCCAAUAUACCCAAGUGAUAAACAGAUUGAUUGUUGACCCAAAAAACCAAACCAACUAGAUAUAACACAUCCAAAUCAUAUGUCUAAUUAAAAUAAUAUAAUAUUAUUAAUAUAAACUAUACAUAUUAUAAAUUGAUUUAAAACCAAAAGUAAAAUAUCAAUUAAUUAUAAUAUAUUAAUUUUAUAAAGAUUUAUACAUGUGCAUGAGCACGGAAAAAUCAUCUAUUCAAAUAGUUUAAAUAAUAGCGUGAAGUGAAAGCUAUCAAAUAGUAAAAAAAAAAUUAUUUCUCUCACCAAAAAAAAUUUACUCGGCGAUUUGCGCCACCGUCGGGACCAUAUUGCUCUGUGUAUAUCUUUAGUCUCUAAUAUCUCCAUCUCCUCUCGACGUCUUGGUUGGUGAAAGUGGCUGUGGAGAAUGAUGGUAGGAUUCCGGCGCGGAAAAUUUUUGGGUUCUCGUUUUUUCCUGAACAUCUCCCUUUUUUAACUUCCCUCCAGAUGUUGAGUUUGGUGAAGUUUUAUCAUUAGUGUGUGGUUGUUUGAGGUUUUUUGAUGAACUGAGAAUCUUUGAUAGAGAUUGAGUUUUGUAAUCACUUUUUGGUUAGCUUGGAUUGCUUCUCUAUAUCGGCCUGAUGUGGGUGUGUAAUUCUUCAAUCGAAUAUUCUGGUUAGGCGAUUUUUAAGCGAUACAGCGAUGAUUUUCGAGCUCGUAUCUAUCUCAAUCUAUGUUCCGCGGUUGAUGUGUUGAAGAAAAGGGGCUUAAGAGGUCUGUGGCAUUCUGGAGUCUGUUAGGUUUGGCAAUUUGUUUAGAUGGAGAAGUGUCUCGAGCCAUGGUUUGGAUUCUAUCUAAUGUGGUCUUGGGGCUGUCAAUUCUUCUUUGUGGCAUCCGGUUUUUGAUGUGUGUGGUUUCUGGUAAGGUUUUGUCAUUCAACCUUGGCGCUCUAUUUUGAUUUCAUUUGGUGAAGCUUUGAAGCGGGGAAGUUGUGAUGUCACUUGGUUUGCAACCUAUGGGUUCUCCGGAAUUUUUGGUGAGGGGCUUUGGAGUUUUUGCUCAAUUGUGUCGGUCUUGGAGUAGUCAAUUGCCAAACGUGUAUGUGUCAGCGUUGGCUGUCGGGUUGAAGGUUUUUUCUCUCAUGGUUUCUUGUGUUAAAGAAGUGGCCUUGUUUGCUUUCUUGAUCAAUUCUGCUUUUGGUUCCGUUCAGCUCCGUCUUUCUUGAAGUAUAUAGUUGUACUCUAGUAUGUUUGUUAGGCUUUCUUUCUCUCCCUUGUUUUCAUUAAGUUGUGGAGUCAAGUUUAGUUUCCUUUGUUUCCGGGUGAUAACUUGUACCACAUCGGCUUAUGGCUCCGGAAAGGUGUUGUAUCUUUUUCGGCUUUGUGUAAGAACUGAUGCAAAUCUAAUCUUAAUCUAAAAGAUGACAAAAAAGUGUGCUUCUUUAAGCCA